AUAAAAUUAAAGAUAUAUAAUUAGGUCUGAAAAGAUAAUACUUUAUUUAUAGUUUAAUGUUAUUUGCUUGUAAAUAUUUAAUUAGGAUAGAAGUUAGAAUAGGAUUCAUGUAACAAAGUAGCGAGCUGAAGCAUAUAGGUCGUGGAACAUUAUCGGGCAAUACAUCGUACAGUGAGUAGCUACACUUUGAGCAUGCAAAGAAAAUGUGGUCCAAGUUGCCCUCAUCAAGCCCACAAUCACACAAUGAGUUCGCACGAACACCUAUCAUAGCCAGAAAUAACGGAGUACAUACUUUGCCCAAACGUAAACGACAGAUGGUGGAUAUUACCCAUUUCGGAGACGUACGGAAUCGAUAAAACCACGGUUUUCGAGAUAUACGAGGUUGUAUACAGCCAUAAUGUCUACCUGUCACUAAUCUCGAGGUAUCCCAUUGCUCCUGCCAUGUAUUAAAUAGAUCCGACAGUGAACCACUCAGAAGGUCUGUACUGUAAAUAUCCUCUUUUAUUAAUCCAAUGUCAAUAGCUCGUUUUGCCCAUGUAUCAGCCAUCUCAUUGCCGCUAAUACCACAGUGGCUUGGAACCCAUCCGAGAACAAUAUUUAGGCCCCUUAAUUCACACCUACGCAGUACAGCUUUGAUUUCUAAAAUCAAAGGAAAUUUGGCUUUGAGUUUGAAUUGGUUGCCUACAAUAGCCUGUAGGCAGCUUCUACUAUCAGAGAAGAUAAUAGUUUUUUUAAUACUAUGGGUCUCUGCAUAUUUGGCAGCUUCAAGAAUAGCAACUGCUUCACCUGUGAAAAUCGACGCUUGAGGAGGACACCUAAAUGAGAGGACAAUAUUGUACCGAGGAAUCCACACUGCUGCUCCCACACAUCUUGCAGGAUCUACCUUUGAAGCGUCAGUAUAAACCGUGAGUUCCAGUGCAAGUGACCGCAAACGUGGAAGCAGCAAAUGGUUGUAGUAAGAACUGGCUUUGAUUAAAAAUCUAUCGGCAAGAUAUUGUCUGCGGAGAGACAAAGGAGGCUCAACACCUUCCACCUGCAUGGCGUUCUUGGGAGAAGAACGCAUAGCUCCGAGUAUGAUCCUCAAACAUUUAGCUUGUAUGAGAUCUAAUUUACCAAGUCCAUCCUUAUUGCAAGGUUCCAUUAAAAAUGACCCAUAGUCUAUAUGACUGCGUAUGAUGGCAUUGUAGAGUAGCUUCUGACAAUAUGGAUGUGAGCCCCACCAAACACCUGACAAUGCUCGCAGAAUAUUGAUAUUUUUUUCACACUUACCUAUUAUAUACUUGUGAUGUGAAAUGCCAGACAUUUUGUGAUCUAAAAUGACACCUAGGAAUUUUACUGACUCCUUACUUGGAAUCAUAACACCGCCAUAACGGACAUCUGCAGCAGGCAUGAUUCUUCUGCGACUGAACGUGACUACACAACUCUUUGUUGGCGAUAGAGUAAGACCAUGUUCAUCAAGCCAAUCUUUGAGGUAACCCAGAGCUGUGUUCAAACUAGCAGCGGCUUUAUCUAUUGACUUUGCUGAGGUGUAUAAGACCAGAUCAUCAGCAUACUGCAAGAUAUUACAGAAGGAUAAGACAGAUUGCUCCAAGUCGUAGGUGUAGAUACUGUAAAGCAGAGGGCUGAGUACAGAUCCUUGCGGGAGACCCCGCCACAAAGUCCGAGGUGGAUGAUAAGAAUUACCAUUCCUAAUUUUAAUUGACCUACCCAUAAACAACUUGGUGACAAUAUGUACAAUCUUCGCGGGAAUGCUCAGAUGUAGCAUUUUUGCCCUGAGCACCGGAAGAAGGACAUUGUCGUAAGCCGCAGAGAUAUCUAGAAAACAUCCUAGCAGAUAUUCGUUUUUUGAAAAGAAAGAGCAAUCGGCCGAUAUGAGCUAGCCUCGUCUGGGUUUUUAGACGGUUUUAGGAUUGGAAUAAUUACUUGGGUCUUCCAGUCUCCUGGGAUCUCCCCCGUGUCAAAGGCAUGGUUUAGGAUACCAAGUAGAUAUUCCUGUGGUGAUGUAUUUAACUUGGACAAGAAACAAUAUGGUAUGCCAUCCUCUCCAGGUGUAGUAUUCCUUAGUCCAUUAAGCACUACACUAAGCUCUGAGAAUGAGAAAGGCUUAUCCAAGUCGCUGGAGGUGCAUAGCAACGGGGGAAGUAACAAGCAGGAUGCUUCGGGGACAGUUGGAGGGGCAAGUCUAUCUGCGAACUCUGAUAGCCAGGGGGAAUCCGUGGUAGUCUUAGACUCUGGAUUAAAUGAACCCCUGAACCUCUUUACGUUUCGCCAUAUAAGUGUUGAGGGGGUUCUAGGAGAUAAGCUCUCGCAAAACCCCCUCCAUCCCUUCUUCUUAGCCUUUGCUAGGAAACGCUUUGUACGGGCCGAGAUUUUUUUUAAUGAAAUAAAGUCAUCCAAAUUUCCUGACUCAUUAAAAGCUUGCUCCGCAGCAUUUCUUUUUUUUACGGCUGCUGUGCAGUCAGCGUUCCACCACGGGGGUGAUGGAAUUUUAUGUUUAACAGCUCUCUUUUUUGGGAUAAACUUAUCGGCAGCUUCUAAUAAAACAUUUUUAAAUUUUAAAUAUUUUUCGUCUUGACUAAUUUCGCUCGUGUCCCACUCUUUUAUAUUUUCCUCUACAUAAAAAGCAUAAUUGGGCCAGUCUGCUGAUUGUAUUUUGUGUUUCAGCAGCGGUUCAGGGGAAGGAGAUGGAAGAAUAGAUGAAGGCUUAGUGAUAAUAAUAGGGAAAUGGUCACUGCCAAAUGACUGACGUAAUACCCUCCAGGAUAAUAAAGAAGAUAAACUAGGAGAACAAACAGAUAAAUCGAGAACUGAUUGGGGAUUCUGGCCUGGGUAUACUCGAUGCGUGGGAGUUCCAUCAUUAAUAACUCCCACAUUGAUGUCAUCGAACAGAUCCAGCAGGGCUGACGAAAACGAAUCUGAAUGGUAUGAUCCCCAGGAGAUAUUGUGACAGUUAAAGUCUCCUAAAAUUAUAAGAGGAGGUGGGACAGAUGUGAGAAUAGAUUGUAAUUCAUCUAUAUCAACUUCUUCAGGAUGGGGGAUAUAUAUAGAGAUGAAAUUAAUGCCCAUAACCUUGGCAGCUACGGCAUUAAUCCCAUCCGAGUGAGGGGGGAUAGGAAUUUGGAAGAAAGGGUAACAGCGCUUGAUCAAUAACGCGCAUCCGGCGCGUCCGUCACUACGGUCUUCCCGGAGACAUGAGAAGCCCGGGACUCUAAAAAGAGCGCCGGGACGCAACCAUGUCUCCGAAAUAGCCGCAACAGACACGGCGUGGUCGUUGAUGAGCUGAAUAAGGUCAGGUUUUUUUGGUAUGAUACUUCGACUAUUCCAUUGUAGAAAUGUGACCGGGGGGGCCAUUGUGGAAUGUAAGUCUCUCCGCGAGUGUAACCAUUAAGGGUGCAACGUCGUUCGGUAGGAAAUCGCUCCAUUUAGCGAUGAUGUUUGUUAAAAAUUUCAAACAGAGUUCCAUUAGGUCUUCAUUGGGAGUGAUUCUAUUGUAAGAAGAAGAGCCAUUCAGAGCUUGACCAUUGGGGAGUUGAGGUGGGGGGGUUCGGACGAUAUUGUUGUGAGCUUCUCUAUCAUAACCCGGGGACAGAGGGACCCUCGUCCGGGGUGCUCGGUAUACGGUCUUACGAUACGAAGUGGUGGGCGGAGGAGUGGGCAUGGAAGUAUUAGGGUGGCAUGGGGACUGGGAAGAUCGGGAAGAGUCUGUAACCUGCUCAAACAUGGGUCUUGCUAUAUCUGAAUAUGGUCUGCGUACUGCUGAAAACUGUGCUGCUGCUUCUGCGUAUGAGAUGUUCUGCUCAGACAUGGCAAGUUUAAUGGCUUUUUGUCUACCAUAUUCAUUGCAUACUUUAUCUGUAGCAAAAUGCCUACCUGUACAAAAGAUACAUGUCACAUGUUCUGGGGCUACAUUGCAUCCAUCACCGGGGUGUUUCUGUGCACACUUAUAACAUCUAGCAUCAGACCGGCACUGUGUUUGAAUAUGACCAAACCUAAGGCACUUCCUGCAUUGAAUUACUGGCAGUUGAUAUACUUCUACCACUAGAGAGGUGUAAUAGGCGAAGAUUUUCGACGGUAAGGAUUGCCCUUCGAAAGUAACUACAACUGAUUGGGUUGGCACCCAGGAUGAGGAGCCAUCAUUGUUUGCCACCUUCCGUUGCAGACGGCGAGCCUUAAGAAUCUUCCCUUUGCCUUCUUUGAGAUUCGUACCAUUGACCAAUUCCUCCAUAGUCCAAUCCGAAGGAACUCCACGAACAACUCCCAUACGCGAUACAUGGUAUGAGGGGAUAUCAGCUGUAAACUUAUUUUUGUCAAGUAGUGGGUGCUUUAAGAAGCUAUUUGCAUCAGCUGCUGUGGAGAAAGUAACUGCUACUCUGUUGCGACCUACCGACUUAAUACCACCUUCCUUCUGGAUGUUGUUUACAUUUCCUUGAGUAAGCAAAAGGCCUACAUUGAUGGGUUUCAGAGAGGCAUUGGACGAUGGAGCGGACUCUCUAGAGACAUGAACUAUAAAUGGUCCAUCAUCUUCGGCAUUGUACUCUCGGUAUUUGCUGUCUAGACUGGGGUGUUUGUAUAAAUGUGGGUUGAACUCGACUGUAUUAUUUUCAUUUACCUCAACUGGAUUAUUUUUAUUAAACUCUGCCACAUUACUAUUAUUAGGUUCGACUGUAUUAUUUGUAUUGCUCAACUGCUUGCUAGUCUCUAUCGGGUCGAUUACAAUUUUUUUUGGGGAAGGCUCCAGCUGGGUCGGUGACAAAUUCAAGUUGCGUUUACGUGAGGUUGUCUCCCAAUUCAUGUCAUUAUCACCGGCCUCAUCUGGAGGCUUCUCCUUUUCAUUCCCAUCCAUCCAAACGUCUACAGUAUUAACCUACUGUAUUGUGUAAAUAUACCACCACCUGAUUAGUAAAUAAGGAAA